rnacentral:rRNA from 1 species
AAUGAACGCUGGCGGCAUGGAUUAGGCAUGCAAGUCGAACGAGAAGCCUGCUUCGGUAGGUGGAUAGUGGCGAACGGGUGAGUAACGCGUGAGUAACCUGCCUUAAGGUUGGGGACAGCCCCGCGAAAGCGGGAUUAAUACCGAAUGUGGCGUUCUGCUUUAUGGCAGAAUUGCUAAAGGAGCAAUCCGCCUUAAGAUGGGCUCGCGUCCUAUUAGCUUGUUGGUGAGGUAACGGCUCACCAAGGCGAUGACAGGUAGGUGGUCUGAGAGGAUGGUCACCCACCACUGGGACUGAGACACUGCCCAG